rnacentral:rRNA from 1 species
UACAGAGGGGGCAAGCGUUGUCCGGAAUUACUGGGCGUACAGCGCGCGCAGGCGGUUGCCGACGUGCCGUGUGACAAACGGGGGCUCAACCCCCGAGGGCCACGGUAAACGGGCGACUGGAGGAAGGGAGAGGGAUGUGGAAUGCCCGGUGGACGCGGUGAAGUGCGUAGAGAUCGGGCGGAACACCAGCGGCGAAGGCGGCUACCUGGACCAGCACUGACACUGAGGCACGAAAGCGUGGGGAGCAAACAGG